rnacentral:rRNA from 1 species
UACGGAGGGAGCUAGCGUUGUUCGGAAUUACUGGGCGUAAAGCGCACGUAGGCGGUUACUCAAGUCAGAGGUGAAAGCCCGGGGCUCAACCCCGGAACUGCCUUUGAAACUAGGUAACUAGAAUCCUGGAGAGGUGAGUGGAAUUCCGAGUGUAGAGGUGAAAUUCGUAGAUAUUCGGAAGAACACCAGUGGCGAAGGCGACUGACUGGACAAGUAUUGACGCUGAGGUGCGAAAGCGUGGGGAGCAAACAGG